CUCAUUCCUAUUCUGUAACCUAAAAGAUAUUAAACACGUUUUUUUGAGUUUAUACUAUCGUUUUACCAAGUUAUUUUAUUUCGUUGGCCUUCCAUAACUCUGUUAGGUUAUAGGCCCAGUGUUUCGGACAUCCCGUGAAUGGAAAAUAGUAUUUUCGCGAUGGAUAACGAUGGAAAAACGGAACGCGUUUAUAUGUUCGACGGUGGUAAUUUCAUGGCGUGGAAGCUCCGCACACAGGUGCUGCUUGAGGAGCAUGACCUGUUUGAGUGUGUGGAGAUGGAAGCCGAGGAAAUUUUGGAAAUGCAAGACCAACCAGCGACACGCAGCAACAGAAAGACGGGAAGCAGAAACUGCGAGAGAAGCGACGUAGGCAGGACCGGAAGUGUCGAUCACUGUUGAUCUCCCGGAUUAAUGACACUCAACUUGAAUACGUCCAGGAAAAGAAGACCCCUAAGGAAAUUUGGGAUGCGCUCAAACGUGUAUUCGAGCGGCGGAGCAUCGCAAGUCGAAUGCAUUUAAAGCGUCGAAUGCUGGGUCUGAAGUUCGAGGACGGUUCGCUUCAUGAACAUUUUUUAUGCUUCGACCGGCUCGUUAGGGAGUAUCGUGCAACCGGGGCGGAGAUGGAGGAGCUUGACAUUAUUUGUCAUCUGCUUAUUACGUUGGGACCAUCAUUUUCGACCGUGAUAACGGCCAUCGAGACCAUGCCGGAAGAUAAACUUAGCAUUGAGUUCGUUAAAUGCCGGUUGCUUGAUGAAGAGGUUAAGCGCAAGGGAAUAGGUGAUGAAUCCAGCACCCCUAAAAGUGAUUCUGCUGCAUUUUCCUGCAGAAAGCAAAAGAAGAAAAAGAAAAUCUUUAAAUGCUUUGGAUGCAAGCAAGAAGGCCACAAGCUGGCGAAUUGCACGAAAAAGAAGGAAAUGAAACCAAAAAUGUAAAACGGAAAUCUAGAGCGUAUUUAGGUAAAAAAGCAGGUACAUGUUUUGUGGGAUUGACCGGUGAAGUUUUACCAAACACAAUAGACCGGUUGAAAUGGUUCAUCGAUUCCGGCUGAUCGGAUCAUCUUGUAAAUGAUCGGGUGCUAUUCGACAAACUCGAGCCAUUAGCAUCUCCAGUGGAAAUUGCCGUAGCGAAGCCCGCAUAAUCAAAAACCAUUGCUGAAGCGUAUCCCCACAUAGGAUAGUGAGCACUGUUUGUCCGCCACACCUUCAACGGUUGAAGCUCCAUCGAAAAACGAAGAAAUCCAGUAAACGGUGUAGUCGCAGGUGUUUGUCAAACUAUAAUGAAAGUAUCUCCGAGCAGAACGAUGUUGAAGUCCACAUUGCACGACGACGAAUGCAAAACAGCGCCCCUCGCAGUCUGGAAGAAUACAAAUAUGACCAGUCACAAAGAGAAAUGUGUAAGAUGGC